rnacentral:rRNA from 1 species
CCUACGGGUGGCUGCAGUGAGGAAUAUUGGUCAAUGGUCGGGAGACUGAACCAGCCAAGCCGCGUGAGGGAGGACGGCACUGUGUAUUGUAAACUUCUUUUGUCAGGGAACAAAGACUGGGACGCGUCCCUGGUUGAGUGUACCUGAUGAAAAAGCAUCGGCUAACUCCGUGCCAGCAGCCGCGGUAAUACGGAGGAUGCGAGCGUUAUCCGGAUUUAUUGGGUUUAAAGGGUGGGGAGAGGGGUUGUUAAGUCAGGUGUGAAAGAUUGGGGAUCAACCGCCGACUUGCAGUUGAAACUGGCAGUCUUGAGUACAGGAGAGGUAGGCGGAAUGCGUGGUGUAGCGGUGAAAUGCAUAGAUAUCACGAAGAACUCCGAUUGCGAAGGCAGCUUACCGG